UGGGUAGGGGGGCGCACCAUCUGGGCAGAAGCCUCUCCGUGAGGAGGGGUGGACCGGAUGGUGUUGAGAAUCCCGGCGGUAGUAGCAGCAUAGCCAGGUGAGAAUCCUGGUCGCCGG
rnacentral:rRNA from 1 species